UACGAAGGGUGCAAGCGUUACUCGGAAUUACUGGGCGUAAAGGGCGCGUAGGCGCCUUCUAAGUCGAACGUGAAAUCCCCGGGCUCAACCCGGGAACUGCGUCCGAGACUGGAAGGCUUGAAUCCGGGAGAGGGAUGUGGAAUUCCAGGUGUAGCGGUGAAAUGCGUAGAUAUCGAGAGGAACACCGGUGGCGAAGGCGGCCUUCUGGACAGUGACUGACGCUGAGACGCGAAAGCGUGGGGAGCAAACAGG
rnacentral:rRNA from 1 species